GCUCCAUCCAGGUCUCCAAUAUGGGUAACAGAUUUACAGGGGCCCAAGCACUUGGGCCAUAUUCUACUUCUUUCCCAGGCACAUUAGCAGGAAGCUGGAUUGGAACAGCUGGGAUUCAAACCAGAGUUCAUGUGGAAUGUUAGUGUCACAGACAUCAGCUUAACUUACUGUACCACCACACCAACUCCCGUGACCCCAUUGUAAAGGCUAGUAGUUUACUCUGAAAACUUUUAAAAUUGUGUCCCUAAGAUAUUGAGAACUUUGAAAUAUACAGGAAAGGUCAUGUAAAAUUUUAAAACAUUAGGUUGUAUCUAAUGUUGACAACUUCACACUUUAACCUAAAAUCUCUACAGGCAACAAUCAUGAACUUGACAAUGAAACCCCCAAAUUUCUCUAAACUUUGCAUACCUCUCAUCGCACUUUAUAACACAUUUUCAUUUUUCAGUCCCUCAACCUCCUGCACCUCAAAAUAGUCUAUCAGGCAAAGCAUUUGUUCCCUUUGAUUCUAUUUUUAGGAUGGCUUCCCUUCAGACAGGGCCAUUAGAGCAGCUGUGAGAGUUGAUCCUUGUUCAUCGGGGACUGAAAAAAAAAAGAAACCAAUCCUCACAUACAGUAGGCACCAGGACCCUCCUGAGCCACUCUGAAUGCAGCUGUAAGCAGCUCAAAGAUGUGGAGUCAUUAUGGCUGUCCAGAGAGGACUUCUUCUAAGGCUACUUCAGCUUUCCUGACCUUACAAAGGUCCAAGCACCCAUCACCUCUACUCUGUCUACAAAAGUCCUGGAGCACUUUUAGAAAAUAACAAUACCGGGGGCUGGAGCUGUGGCACAGGUUAAUCCUCCACCUGCAGUGCCGGCAUCCCAUAUGGGCACUGGUUCGAGUCCCUGCUGCUCCUCUUCCAAUCCAGCUCUCUGCUAUGGCCUGGGAAAGUAGUAGUAGAAGAUGGCCCAAGUGCUUGGACCCCUCCACCUGCAUGAGAGACCAGGAAGAAGCUCCUGGCUCCUGACUUCAGACUGGUGCAGCUCCCGCUGUUGUGGUCAUUUGGGGAGUGAACCAACAGAAGGAAGUCCUUUCUCUCUGUCCCUCCCUCUCACUGUCUGUAACUCUACCUCUCAAAUAAAUAAAAUCUUUUAAAAAAAAAGGAAGAUGAAAAUAGCAAUACCCGGGCUCCAUCUCCAAACAACUGAGCUAGAAUCACAGGGAUCUCUUGGGCCAGUGCUAAGGCACAGCAGGUUAAAGCCACAGCCUGCAGAGCCAGCGUCCCAAACAGGUGCUGGUUCUAGUCCCAGCUGCUCCACUUCUACGCCAGCUCCUUAUUAAUGCAGCUGGGAAAAUGAAAGAUGGCCCAAGUACUUGAACCUCUGCACCCAUGUGGGAAACCUGGAAGAAGCUCCUGGCUUUGGCCUGGCCCAGCCCUGGUCAUUGCAGCAAUUUGGGGAGUGAACUAGCGGAUGGAAGAUCUCUCUUUCUAACUCUGCCUUUCAAAUAAAUAAAUACUUUUAAAAAAUCUUAAAGAUCUCAAAGGGUGGUCUGCAGCCUCAACUGUUUUGGGGAAUGUGUUAGAAAUGCAGUAUCCAGGCCCAACCUAGACCCACUGCAUCAGUAUCUGCAUUUACAUGCAGAAGUUUCCCCUUAUCUGUGGCUUCAUUUUCUUUGGCUUCAGUUACCUAUAGUCAAUUGUAGUUUGAAAAUACUCAAUGGAAAAUUCCAGAAAUAUGCAAUUCAUAAGUUUUAAACGGCAAACUGUUCUGAGUAACAUAAUGAAAUUUCCCACUGUCCCACUCCACCCUGCCCGAGACACCUUUCAUCCAGUGUAUCCAAGCUAUAUCUGCUACAAGCCCAUUAGUCACUCAGUAGCUGUCUAGGUUAUCAGAUCUACUGUUGUGAUAUCACAGUGCU